GAAGGCCCGUGCUUGCCGGUUGGAUUAGUGGCGAACGGGUGAGUAUCACGUGAGUAACCUUCCCUUGACUCUGGGAUAAGCCUGGGAAACUGGGUCUAAUACCGGAUAUGACCGGCCUCCGCAUGGGGUGCUGGUGGAAAGCUUUUGCGGUUUUGGAUGGACUCGCGGCCUAUCAGUUUGUUGGUGAGGUAAUGGCUCACCAAGGCGAUGACGGGUAGCCGGCCUGAGAGGGUGACCGGCCACACUGGGACUGAGACACGGCCCAGACUCCUACGGGAGGCAGCAGUGGGGAAUAUUGCACAAUGGGCGCAAGCCUGAUGCAGCGACGCCGCGUGCGGGAUGACGGCCUUCGGGUUGUAAACCGCUUUCAGCAAGGAAGAAGCUUUAUUGUGACGGUACUUGCAGAAGAAGCGCCGGCUAACUACGUGCCAGCAGCCGCGGUAAUACGUACGGCGCGAGCGUUAUCCGGAAUUAUUGGGCGUAAAGAGCUCGUAGGC
rnacentral:rRNA from 1 species